rnacentral:rRNA from 1 species
UACGUAGGGGGCAAGCGUUGUCCGGAUUUAUUGGGCGUAAAGAGCGUGUAGGCGGCCAGGUAGGUCAGCUGUGAAAACUCGAGGCUCAACCUCGAGAUGUCGGCUGAAACCAUCUGGCUAGAGUCCGGAAGAGGAGAAUGGAAUUCUCGGUGUAGCGGUGAAAUGCGCAGAUAUCGGGAAGAACACCCGUGGCGAAGGCGGUUCUCUGGGACGGUACUGACGCUGAGACGCGAAAGCGUGGGGAGCGAACAGG